ensembl:lncRNA
GAAUCUAGAAAAAAGACGAAAGAAUAAAAUCAAAGCAUCCUCGUCAAGAAGUGAUCUAACCUUUAGCCACAUUUUGGAAACACUGCUCAUUGUUCAACCUUAGAUAAUAAGACAAGCAACUAGUGGGCCAACAGAGCUCCUUUCUUUCUAGUUUGUUUCUGACAUUAGUUUCAUUGAUUCAUUAGUUAGCACUGAUUUCAUUGAUUCCUUCAGUUAGCAAGCAUUACGUGUUAUAAUGUAGGAGAAACUAAGAAAUAUGCUCUUAGUGAAAUAGCUACUUCACCCCCUUGGAGCACAAAAAUAUGUUUCCAUAAUCGGAUCAGUAAAAGAUCACGUCCCCAUUCCAAGGACAACAAAUGCAUUCUCCUGAUCUGGGAUUUCCUACCUCCAAGUAUCCAAGGAGCCUGCACAUGGUUUCCCAGGUCACUUAAAGAAAGUCCAUCCUUUGCUUAGCACUGUUGCCCAUUUCUUCACAGUGGAGUGAUAACAACUUGUGCUUGAGGUCCCUAGUACUGUAAUGAGAGAUGAUGAUGACAAGGAGGAGGAGGACAAUGACAAAGAUGAGGAUGAGGAGGUGAUGACGGUGCUGACUGAUCUUGUAUACUAUAAGAAUCACCACUGAAUGUGAGGCUCACUGGCAAUUUGACCAUGGUCAUUUAGGACAAGAAGGAUAAAGAUACCUUGUUCCACCCCUCCUUCCUAUUCCCCACCCCCACUUAUAUCUUACCUUUGGGGCUUCAGAUAGCUGUGUUAAAGAUCCUCAGGGAAAUAGUUUUAUACUCCCAAAUCCUCUCCACCUAAGAUAGUCAUAGAACCUGUGACAAGGCAGUAGAGACCUUUUCAUGAGCAACCAAUCAGAUUCCAAGAGGAGAGGAAGCUCCUACCUCCAGCUUCACUUCACUUCUUGCCCCCAUCAUUUGUACCCCACCCCUGUUCCCUAACAAACAUCAAGCAUUUUUCCAGGCAUGCAUUGUCUUUGUCCAUGGCCACUUCAGGACAAUAAAACAUGGUCUACCAGGCUUGGAGAGGGCAUUCAUGCACCAAACUAGGUGACAACAAAAGACAAUCAUGAAUUGUAGGGUAGAAUUGUAGGACCAGAACAGGCUCCAAGACCAUGGAAUCCAGCCUCCUCACCCUACAGACAAGGAAGCAGGCCUGGGGGUGUACCCAUGCUCGCAGAUACCACCCACAGCACCUGGUAGUUGAGGCCAAGCCCUCAACCCAAACUCCCUUCUCACGUGUUCACACACCUGCCUCUAUCAGCCUCUAAACUAACUGAAACACACUUAAAUAAUUUAAGGGCUUCAUUAUUUUUUUUCUUUGGAGAAAUAAAAAAUAAACCAGAAACAUUCCUCGUUAGCCAAGGCAGGCUCUGACAGAGCUUGGCAGCUGGGGAGUGUCUUUCUAAAUCAAGAAACACCACAUCUCUUUUGAAAGUGGGAGAAACAAUUUGUACCUCUUAAAUGUGAAGAGAUGCAUUUCUUUGCAUGAACAAAAUAACUGCCAAGAAAUUGCUCAAGGUAAAUGUUGGGCAAAAUAGUCCACAAAGCAAGAGAUAUCAUGCUUGUCAGAACCGUUUCCAAUGAGAAGAUAAGGCAGGGAAAUUGUUUUUCCAUUUGCAAAUAUGUUCUCCAAAUUUCCCCUGGAAAAUAAAUACACAUGAACUUGAGCAUGGAAAAGCUGAAUAUCCAAUUAUUUGAUAAAGAAAACAAGCUGAAAUGGGCUUAAGAGAAAACAAAUUAUUUACCUGAUGGCACAAGAUUUCCACCAUUACCCUCUGGGAUUGUAACCAAGAUCCCCAGUAGUGGAAUGAUGGCAACAUUAACUGCACACUGUGUUUAUCCACAUACACAAAUGGUGUGAAGAUAAUGAGGUCAUGUGUGAAGAAACACCUAUGGGGCCUCAUUUAGUCUUGUUUAUUUUUUAAAUACCUAUGACAGAUCAAAAUUAUACUUAUUCUGCGCAUAUAUGAUACAGAAAUGUCAACUAGUUCUCACAGUCUCAUAGGCGAAGUCACGCUGAUGAGCAACUGAGAGCUGGAAGCCAGCACUGUGCUGGCAGAGAUGCACCUUGGGUACCAGAUGCACCUGGAUGUGAACGUGUUUAAUGUCCAAAGACCUUAGGCGUGGAAGUAAAGGUAUUGCUGUGAUAAACACCGUGACCAAGGGUGUUUAGCUGGCUUACACUGACUGCAGUCUGCCACUGAGGCAAGCCAAAGCAAGAACUCAAGGGGGGGGGGAGGGAGUCCAGAGCUAGGAACUGACGUAGAGACACAGAAGGACACAGCUUGCUUGUUGGCUUGAUCCUAAUAGCUUCCUGGCUUUUUUAUAGAACCCAUGACCCCCUGCCCAUCAGUGUCGAUACCCUCCCACAACAAUUGUUAAUCAAAAAAAAAAAAAAAGAAAGAAAGAAAGAAAGAAAGAAAGAAGAAGAAAAAAGAAAAACAACGCCCAACAGGCUUGCCUCCAGGACAACCUGAUGGAGGCAUUUUCUCAGUUGAGGUUCCUUCUUCCCAGAUUGUAAGAGAAACUGAAGCCAGCCUACCCAAGCCACAGUCGCCCUGUCCCGGGAGCCUAGGCCAGCCUGCACACACAUGCACAGAUGACACUUCCUUCCCUGAGUCAAGCUGCCAAGCCUGCUUCAAGGCCCAGAGAAGCUGCUGGAGAGACACCUGACCUGGAGACACCAAUGGGAAAAGGACAUGGGGCAGAGUCAGCACCUGAGCCAAUGGGACCUUGGGAGUGGGUAUAAAGGCAGGCCUAACUUCCUUAAUAAAUGAGUCUGCAGCUGGGAUACUCACUCCCAGUGCCUGAGUCAUUGGUGCUGCAUCAUCUCACCCCCUCCCCCAAGGGGUGUCUGAGCAGGGUCACCCGAAACACCAGAUGACCGACUCUAGCUUGUAUCAAGCUGACAAAAACCUAACCAGCACAGACAGCAAUAGAAUGGCUUUCCAGGAUCAUAUCCCAACUGCAUGCUUAGGUCGUGCUCAAGCAGGGCAGGCCUGUGCCAAUACCCCAAAAGGGAGUACUUCAUACACAUGACUCACCCUCUCUCUGGCCAGCCCCACAUGAGAAGACCAGCACACCCGCCAACAAGCUGCUUUCAGAGAUGAGAAAGGUCCAGGAACCUGCUACUCCUCUAGCAUCCUACAUGGCAACUGCUCUCUACCUACACAUCAGAAUCCUCCUCAUCUCCGAGACCUGCCUAUCUUGUUGCCCUAUUGGCCACAGUGUUUCAUUCAUCAACAAAUAAAAUAAACAUAUUUACAGAAUGACAUCUCCCAUCAAACCUUCAUCAAGACUCUCCUCCUGGUGAUUCUCCAUUUUGUCAAGCUGACAGAACUAGUACACCUUCGUUCUUUGAAUCCAUUCGGCUGUCUUCAGCCCUGAACCACUCCAUGGUACACUUGUAUGCACACUGUCUCUCAUUUAUUUUCCCUUUCCCUUCUCCCUUGGGGCAUGGGUAUCAAUUACUAUGUUAUUGAAAUGGAGUAAGGGUGAUUGUUAAUACAGAAAGUUCUAGAACUAGGGUUGUGUCCACCAGAGGACUGGAAAAAGAAAUGUAGGUAUGUAUACCUGAUGAAGAAGUUGGAAGCUCCUCUUCCAGCCAAAACAACGUGAUCACAAGCAGGGUUGGGCCUGCUUGUUUUGGGGUGGGUGGAGUCCACAUCAAGAGUGGCAUGGAAAGAGGAUGGCUUUGAUCCUGACAAGGAAAAGUCAGGGGUAUUCCUGAAGAUAACAGGCAACCUUGAAGGUAUGCUGUGCUGAGACAUUAAGAGGGGAGCCAUGGCAUCAGAUGGGCUCAGCAUCCAGGGAGAGCAGACCCCCCUGGAGCAUCUUUCUCAGUGCUGCGUCCUAUGGGUAGCAGUGGAGAGAGAGAGACCUGAGGGAUGACGACCCUUGCCUUGCAGGAGGGGUCACCCAUUAUGCCUGGUAUCUCCCAACCCCACUGCGUGCAUCUCUUUGAGGGCAAGACCUUUCUGCCCUCCACCUUCAGUCACAGCAUAUGGACUAUGUGCCACUUGACUUGGGGCUAGACUCCACUAUGGCAUAUAACUCUGCGGGGUUAGUGUACUGUGGGGCUUAGGUGGGACUCAGGAAAAGGGAACGUGUCCACACAGUAAAUGCCUGAUUAUUCAGAUGAUAGUCCAAAAAAUGUCACAGCUGAUGGUACAGAUGGAGACUACUAGCCCUCAGAGGGGUUUCUGUGUGUGGCCCUCAGUGUCCAAUCACAGCCUUGUUGCACAGGCUGACACUAUCACUGGGCAGAGCAACCAGGCUUCUAAAGCCUCCUCCACUGUUCAUAUGGGAUGGGAGACAGGAUUGUCACUUAGCCAUUUAUUCUGUUCUGGGGCCUCUAACUUGGAACCUACUGGCCAGACAGAGACAAGGAACAGAAACCCAGCACGUUCUUAAGUCUACAACGAAAGUGAAGGAGAGGUCAUUCUCCUAAGACCACUCUCCCAGGGAUGUGGAACAUCCCUUUACACUGUAUGAAUAUAUGUCACUGUGAUUGGUUUAGUAAAGAAGCUGUCUGGCCAAUAGCUGGACAGGAUAAGGUUAGGUAGGAGAACCAGACUAAUGACACUGGGAAGAAGAAGGACAGAGUCAGGGAAGUCAUCAGAGAGAUGGAGAGGAAGCAGGGCAUGCAAGAGAAGGAAAAGCCAUGAGCCUUGGGGUAGCACAUAGAUUAAUAGAAAUGGGUUGAUUCAAGUGAUAAGAGCUAGCUAGUAAUAAGCCUGAGCUAUUGGCUGAACAUUUAUAAUUAAUAUUAAGUUUCUUGUGGUUGUUUGGGAGCAACUUCUGGGGCACAGAAAAACUCCAACUGCAUAGGAACACCAGUUCUAGAAAUUCUUGUGCUGGUUCAACAUAGCGACCCUGUAGCCUACCUGGGCCACAGCACCCUUUAAAGGCAGGGUGUGAUGUUGUUUUAUUUCUAUUCUAAGCAUCAGGCUGCCCACUUCUACCAGAGCAGGGUACAUUCCUGUGGACCUUGUGAGACAGAUGCAUUUUCUACUGAGUUAGGGACUAGCUCUAGACAUGGUAAUGGACUUCUGCAUGAAAAGUUUUUGGGUUGUUUGUUUGUUUUUGUUUGGUUGGUUGAUUUUUUGCAUGAAAAGUUGAAGCAAAACUGAAACUGUGAAUUCUGUGAAAUUUGUUUUGGUUAUCUAUGGUGGCUGAAUGAGAUAUCCCACCACAGUCUUAGACCUUCGAAUGUUUGUUCCCCAGUUGGUGGUGCUGUUUGGAGAGGUUUGAGGCAUGUGGACUUGGAGGAGGGCUCUGAGAGUAUAAAAAGACCCUUGCCACUUCAGGUUCACUCUCUCUGCCUCCUGUUUGUGAUCCAGAAUGUGAGUUCUUGGCUUCCAGCUCCUACUAUGCUCUGCCAUCAUGGGCUCUUCUCCCUAGGGAACCAUAAGCCCAAAUAAACCCUUCCUUCUACAAGCUGUCUUGGUCAAGGUGUAUUACCACAGCAGCAGAAAAGCAAUACAGUCUCUCUAGCCUUUUCUGUUUCCCAUUCAUGAGUCAAGCUCUCCCUUUACUCCUUCUAGCACCUUCCUGAACUCUAAAAAUAUGCUGGACAGUGGUGGCACAUGCCUUUAAUCCCAGCAAUCGGGAGGCAGAGGCAGGCGGAUCUCUGUGAGUUUGAGGCCAGCCUUGUCUACAAAGUGAGUUCCAGGACAGCUUCCAAAGCCACAGAGAAACCGUCUUGAACCCCAAAAAUAAAAAAAUAAAAAUAACCAACAUAGGACCUGAUAAAACAACUCGCCUAAGCAGUUCCUUGCAUUACCAUGUGGCCCAUCAGGUACUCACCUUGCUGUGGAAUGAAAUGGUUUCACAGGACCCCUCUGGAAGGGUUUUUUUAAGUUUUUAAUUCUUUUAAAGAUUUAUUUAUUUAUUAUGUAUACAGUAUUCUGCCCAUAAGCCAGAAGAGGGCACCGGAUCUCAUAGAUGGCUGUGAGCCACCAUGUGGUUGCUGGGAAUUGAACUCAGGACCUCUAGAAGAGCCGUCAGGGAUCUUAAGCUCUGAGCCAUCGCUCCAGCCCCUCUGGAAGACUCACUUAUUUUUUUAAAGCUCACCAGAGUGUUCCCUGGUUUUGCAAGUUAUACCAUGCUGGCCCUGAAUGCAUAAGAUGCUGGGGAGUGACCUUGGAAGAGACUUGGAUGCAAUAAGUGGUGGGACAUUACUUCAGAGGGGUCGUCUUGACUCUUCUCCACCCCAGGCUUUACCUUAGGACCUGCCAAAGAGACCAUACAAAAUUGACAAACAUCUAUGAAAUACCAAAUAAAUAAAUAAAUAAAUAAAUAAAUAUUUAAAAAUUAAAAAAAUGUGUGUUAUCUCACUUAAUCCUCCUGAGUCUUAUGAAAGCAGAUUUUAAUUACCCUAAUUAAAACAGUAAUUCUAUUUGCAGCUUCCUCUGCAAUCAACAUCCCUUUGACCUGGAGAUAUGGUGCUCUCUGGGUAUCCCUUUCCCCUUUGACAUGCUGUCUUUGCUGUCUAGGGUUCUCAUCAUCCAGAACUUGUUUUCUUUUUAAGAUUUAUUUAUUUAUUAUUUAUUUUCCUUCAUUUAUGCCUGUGUACCUUGUGUAUGCCUGGUGUCCUCAGAGGCCAGAAGUUGUCAGUACACUGAAACUGGAGUUACAGAUGGUUGUGAGCCCCCAUAUGGGUGCUGGAAACCGAACCCAGGUCCUCUGCAAGAGCAGCCAGUUGCUUGACCACUGAGUCGUCUCCAGGCCCAUGACUUUUCUUUUCUUUUUUUUCCGACACAGGGUCUCACCAUGUAUUCCUGACAUACCAGACUGGCUUUGUACUUAAAGAGAUUUACCUGUGUCUUACCUGCCUGGUGCUGGCAUUAAAGGAGUGUGCCACCACACCCACAGGCGGCUCCUCUUCCUUUUCCUCCCCUUCCUCCUCCUUUUGAAAUCCGGGAACUUUGCCUGCCAUAUGUAUGUCCCAACUCUCCCGGCAAUGGCAAUGCAGGUCCUUUGAGCUCUGUGCCUUCCCAACACCCAUGCUUACCUACAUCACAGGUCCUUGAUAUUCCACAUACCUAAAGCAGAAUGGAGAACUGAGCCCCACUCAUCUGCUACCCACCAUCGCCAGAAAAAAAAAAAUCUGAUUUUUAGACAGUGGUCCUUGGUUCUUAUGUGGUCAACCUGUCUGUUUCCCCCCAAGUGGUCUCUCAACCUCCAUUGCUGUCAUCAUCUCUGCAUGGGCACAGACAUCACUCCCCCAGGAGAAUGCUCUGUCUGUCUCUUCUAAACCCACUGUCCACUGUUGAGCUUGAGCAAUUUUAUAAAAUACAGAUAUCACUGAGCCACUCCUCUGCUUAAACAGUCAAUAACUGGCCAAAGCCCCCCAAAUAUGGACCCCACCUUUUACAUAUGCAGUCUGAGGCUCAGCCAGCAUCCAUCCCUUGGACAGCUUCCCACUCUCAUUUAACCUGGCUGUACCAUUGCUAUGAAUAUUCCUGCCUCCUUAGCUUUUUGUUGUUGUUGUUGUUGCCUUGGAAGUUCAAAGGCCCAGGUACCUUGGUACACUGGCAGGUCCAGAGGGGACCCGCAUCUAAAGGGGCCACGUUUGGCUACUUCCAAUUUUAAGCAGAAAUGUAACUUGAUGACAUCUGCAUUUUACUCUUAGGUAGUGUUGUUAAUCUCUUAUCAUGGGGUCUAGUCUUCUUCCCUCUAAUGUGGCUAAGAGCUUGUGGCUAUUCCAAAAGGCUAUAGAAGAGUUUGGUUCCUAUCACCAGACACUACAUUCCAAGAUUGCCAGUGCAUUCCACAACAUGCAUGCAUGCAUGCCUAUCUUUAGAGUGUUCGUGCUCACUGAACCCUUGAUUACUUAAGAUCCUUGACCCCCUUCACCUGCCUGGAACUCUUUGCUGACUGAAAUCCACGGAGUCUUAAGAAGUUAAAACUUAAAGAUGUCGUAGAGAUUAUCCUUUACUCCUCAUUUCAUGGAAGCCAGAAGUGGAGUUCAGGGAGAUGAAGUGAUUUACCCUGAAUCAUAAACUCGUGAGAGGGGAGUAGGACUGAGCUCAGUUCAGACAACAUCGAUAGGAAAGGGAUCCCACAGUGGGGUGGUGGCAGGGGACAGUGACUUGGGAAUUGUGGGUGCUGGCUGCCUGGAUGAAGAGGUUGCUUUGGGCAGGAUCAGUGUAGCAGGAAGUCUGAGGUGUCUGAGAGGGACAGCUGGGUUAGCAGGCACCAAACCUGUACCUCUGCUCUACUGGCCCUGUCAGAAUACAGUGUCCUCUGGAGAGCAAUUUCCAAUGACACCGGCAACACGGCCAUCAGUAAUACCAGCUCAGAUUUAUUUAUUUCUUUUUUCUCUCUCUUUUAGUUUUUUUAAGUCAUUUUUUCUUUGAAUCAGAAACAAGAUUGUUUUACAUGACAAUCCCAGUUCCCUUCUCCCUCCCGUCCUCCCCCCCCCCCCGAACUAAAACCCUACCUAUCACAUACCCUUUCUUCUAUUCUUCAUUGACUCAACCUUUCUGCUCCCUCAUGACCUCUGCAUCCUUCUCUUCCCUUCUCAUUCUGGUAGCUCCCUCCCCCCUCUUCCCGUACUCUCAAUAUGCUCAGGAGAUCUUGACCCUUUCCCCUUCUCCAGGGGACUAUGUAUGUCUCUCUUAGGGUCCUCCUUGUUUCCUAGCUUCUCUGGCAGUGUGGAGUGUAGGGCCCGCUAAGAUUUAUAUUGUGUUUAAAUCUUUCCAUAGGCUCACUCCAUAAGGAGCUGCUAUUAGCAUCAACAACAGCACAAAGAAGGGAUGCUCAGAGACAAGGAGAACACAUGGGAAAAUGUGCAGAUGUACCGUGGAAGUGUGCUACGCAUCACUGCCUGUCAUUCCAUCACCACCUCACACCUCUAUCUUGUCUGUGAUGUAUCGAUGGUAAGAUGGCUAUACAUCCAGGUUUUAGGGAUGGCUUGGUAGAUGUAAGGCUAGUUUUACUACCUUAGAAACUAGUUUGAGAAUAGGCAAGUGGUUGCCCCUGGGCCACAGAACAUGAGUCAGAAGCAGUGUGUGGAGUAUGCUGUUGCCUGAAAGCCUUUCUUCACUCUUCUGGGAUAACAAGGGGAACCAUUUCCCCUCUUCUCUGGCUAACAGUGAAGAACCAUGCAGUCCUGACCACUACAAGAUUAGGAUGCAAGCCAGCUCCAGAAGGAGACUGGCAGAAACCAGAAACGAGAGUAACAGAAUCCGAGUCUUUGGGAUUUGCUGAGCCAUGGAGGCAGCCGGACUCUGGGACUUGUGCAUAAGUGAGACGAGCUGGAGGGAAGUUCACACUGUAGCUGAGCUUCCCACAGCAGAGAGGCUGAACCUUGUGGUUAUAAAGAAUAAAUAUCACACACACACACACACACACACACACACACACACACACACACACACACACACGUAACCCUGGCUAAAACUUGCCAUGUAGAACAGGCCAGCCUCAGACUCACAGAGGUUCACCUGUCUCUUGCUCUGUCUGUACUGUUUUCAUAUAUUCACUAAACACACUGAGCAAGCUUUCCUGCAUGGUCUUCAAUGGAUGUCACACUGUAUUCAGACCCUGGCGCUCUCUUUUGGUGUUAGGCAAGUUUUACACUCACCCUUUCAUAACUCACCUUUUUCAUUUACAGCAGCAGGGUAACAAUACUCAUGAAGUUGUUGAGAGGAUGAAGUGAACUAAUAUACAGAAAGAUGUAUUGUUAUUACGUGAGUGUACACGAGAUGUAUGUAUGUGGGCAUGAGAGCUGCAGUGCACGUGUGGAGGUCAGAGGACAUCUCUGUGUGCUGUUAUCAGUGACAUCAAGGCAGGAUUUGAGAGACAGAAAGAACACUAGGAAGAAGAAAGGUGGCGUCUUGAGGAGACAUGGAGGAAGCAUGAUACGUAGGAGAUGAAGUAACAAGCCAUGAACCAUGUGGCAACAUGUAAACUAUAGAAAUGGGUCAAUUUAAGUUAUAACAGCUAGUUUGAAACAAGCCUAAGCUAUCGCUAUUGGCCGAGCUUUCAUAAUUAAUAAGUCUCCAUGUGGUUAUUUGGAAGCUGACUGGCAGGACAGAGAAAGACUUGCUACACAUGCACACAACAAAACACAACAAAACAAAACAAACAGAAAGAAGCCCAAACUCGGGGUGGACUGGCAGAUGCAGGGAGUGAGACAGGGAAACCAGAAUGUUAAGCAGAUCCGGGUUUGACAGAGUUGAGAUUCUCACUGAUAGUGCUGUGUACGUGGCUCUUGUGGAUGUGAGUCAAAACCCAAGGGGACCUCUGAAAAGAUCAUGCCAACCUCCCAACUGCAAGGAGACAACUGCCCCUGGGUCAGACCUUGCUUUGCUUUUUCUUCCCUUCCUCAUUUCAGCUGGGCCUCCAAAACACAAAGGCUAAAAUCCAAUAAGAAAUCUGUUUCUGUUGUAUUAUCUUGGCUGCCUAGGAGACUUCUUUUGGCAGGCUCUCUGUCAAUUUGUCCAAGUCUGGGGCCUCUUUUUCCUGGAGUUUCCAUCACCUUGUUUGAAAAAAAAAAAGAAUCUAAGCAACAUUGUGCAAGGUCGGAGAGGUCGCUUGUCCUUUCAGUAUGAGGGCCAAACCCAGGACCUGAGCAUACCAAGAGAGCCCUUGGUCUCUGAGCUACGCCCCCUGCCCCACUUCGGUGACCUGAAGAUCUUCAGUUUUUUUUUUUCUUUUGUUUCUUUGUCUCUCAGAGACACCAGAAAAACUGCACGCUAUGACACCCAGAGCAAUCAUGAUGACAAUGACAAAGAUAACUACAGAGGCUACUCUUUGUUGCUUGUAUUGUCGGUCACGAAACCAAGUAUUUUACAUGUUAGCUCAAUCGUUAACAGAAAUGGCCAGAGUUAAUGGCCAUUUAUCAUAAUAUGGCAUAUGAUAAAAUUAAAAGGCAUAAAAUGGUUUCAUUGUCGUAAAAGUUCAGCCUACCAAGAAGCUAUACCAGUUGUGAACUUUUAUGCACCUAACAAUACACUUUCAAAAAUGCAUAAAGCAAAAAUAUUGCCAGUAAUUUUUAUGAGGAUGGAUCAUCAGAGCUAUUAUCAUAAAAGUUAACACACCUUUACUCUAAACUAGAUCAAACUAACAAAAUUAAGUAUAGAGGGAAUAUAUAAUAAUAAAAUAUUAUACCUAACUCUAUACUCAACAGGGAUUAUAUCUACAUUGCCCUGAAAUACGGAAAGAGCUAUUAUAACUGAUUAUAUAUUAAUCACAACGAACAAUUUUGUUGUUGUGUUUUGUUUUCGAGACAGGGUUUCUCUGUGGCUUUUGGAGGCUGUCCUAGAACUAGCUCUUGUAGAGCAGGCUGGCCUCGAACUCAUAGAGAUCUGCCUGCUUUUGCCUCCUGAGUGCUGGGAUUAAAGGCAUGUGCCACCACCGUCCGGCUAUAAGGAACAAACUUUAAAGAUUGAUUAUAUUUGUAUUUGGGUAUACACAUGUGUGUUUACUUAUACAAGUGCAUGUGUGUAUGUGUGUCUGUGUGUGGCCAGAAGAGGGCAUCAGAUUCCCUGGAGCUGGAGUUACAGGCAUUUGUCAACCAUCCAGCAUGGGUGCUGGAAACCAGACUCUGGUCUUUGGGCAGAACAGUAAGUGCUCUCAAUCGCUAAACUACCUCCAGUCCUCAAAUAGAGUCAUCGUUUAUAAAUUAAAAGGGAGCAUCAGGGAGCAUAUUUAUUAAAAAUUAUCAAACUAAGCCAGCAAAUUGGCUCAGAAGGUAAAGGUCCUUGCUGCCAAGCCUGACAGCAUAAACUCAAUCCCCAGAUCCCAUAAGGUAGAAGUAGAAAGCCAACUGCUGCAAGUUGUUUUUUGACCUAUACACAUAGACACACAUACACAAUAUAUAAAUGCAAAAAAAUGAAAUGUCAAUCCAAAUAUAUGUACAUAUGGUAUAUUUGAGAAAUAUAUAUGUAGCCCAGGAUGGUCUCAAACUCUCUAACCUCCUGCCUCAGCAUCCCAAGUGCUGGGAAUAUGGGCACCAGGCCCAUAUAACCUCCAUCCUUGACUCCAUCCCCAGCUAUCUGCUCAUUAGCCCAUUGGGAAAGGAUGGCUGCAAUUCCACAGAAUCCUUCAUUUCAUCUAUCGAUGUUGUGCACUGUCUGGACCUCCCUUUGCUAGUCUUUUACAUGAGACACAAAUACCACCACAAUCUGAGGUCUGUGCAAAUACUGCUUCCUCACAAACCAACUUUCCAACUGUGUGCCUGUCAAGUCCCUGAAUGUCUAAUCAAACCAUUAACUAUAGGCAAUGAAUUGAUGUGGGCCCAAACAUCUGGCCAUCUAGCAUUUCAGGAAAAAAGAAUUACCACACACUCUGUUCAAAGUCUAGUCCAAUGGAAAGCUUCCCUUCCCUAGCCUGGCCUGUUGCCUUCCCCAAGGUGGUCUGUAGCUAUCCUCUUUCAGGUGACACCUACAAAUCAGGAAGGAUGACUGUAAAUAGGCCUCAAGCAUUUUCUUCCUCAGUCAUAGGCUGAAGUCGUAGACUGACGCUAAGGGUAGCAUGAGUGAGGGGUGUUCACACCCAAGCUGCUUCUGAGUCCUCAUGCAACUUGGUCUUCAGGACCCAACCCUAUCUAAUCUCAAAGCUUUCACACGAUUUGAUAAAGCCACUGGCAACUUUCAGACUUGGUAGGUCCAACAAUGCCCAUACACCCGGGGCAGCGCUUUCACACAGUAAUGUGGCAGCUUCCGGCCAAGUGUUCAGUCUCAGGCCUGGUAGCAGGCCAUUGGUGGUUCCCUGAAGGGGAACUGUUAUUCUCAGAGGGUAGCAUCGCUUAACUAAAAAUUUCCAAGGAUCCGUGCUGUGAUUCAGCAAAGCAGGCUGCCAAACGCUCCUAAAGUAUCCUUAGAAUUGCAAGACCAUUGUAUGUGAUGAGUCACAUGACCCAAUUAGCAGAACAGUUUGCACAGCAGCUCUACCUGUUCUAGAGAUGAAGCUCAUUCUGAGAAUUACUCAAAAUAGGCACCUUCUAGCCAGUAAGCAACAGAGCCAAAGCAGCAUAUCCAAAUGAGAAAUAUAUCCCCACCAAAAACCCAAGAGCCCCAGGAGGCACUGUGGGAAGACCUUGAUCCAACAACAUAAGUGUCACCAGAGAAGAGAAAUAUCUUCAUAUCUCAGAUAAUUGGACCCCUAAAUGACUUUCUCUUCAGUGGAGUUCAUCUCCCACUCUCCACACACAAAUAAACCGUGCCUAGAACUUACUGAUUACCAUGUCCACUAAGCACAUUGUCAGACCAGUGCAAUGUCCUAUGGAAGGGAAAGGCAGUCAGGGGCCUGUGGACUUCAUUAGUGCAGGGAUGGACAGUUUAUUUACUCCUGAGAUAGCCUACUGAAGACAGAUUGCUGCCUCAUUAGGCAAGAGCCAACUUCUGAGAGCUUCAUUAAUAGGCAAAAAGAAAAGUGUGUGUACCAGAUCACAAGCUACAUACCAGAUGUGUGAUGAUCUUGUCACAGUCACAUCUGUAAACACCUACAAUUGAAGUUACUGCCUGAAUCAGUUUAAGACAGUCCACUGUCGCUCUUGGCAUCAUGGCCUCUGUGUCUUUCAAGGCUACCAGUCAGGCAAUUCCUCCAAGAAUGCAAUAUUGCUUUCAGGAUGCAUUUUUGUAAGAGAGGCUGGUCUAUAACAUCCACUGUGGUUUUUAUCACAAUAACCCUUGUUCCAUGCACCAGGGAACCACUGUGGGAAUGUUGCCAGUUGCUGAGUGUAUAUAUUCUAAUUAUGCAUUCUAGGCCUAGGAAAAUAACCACAAGAUGGGUUUGGGUACAGUGAGAUGGGCCUGAACCAGCUAUGACUUCUCCAUUUCUCAAUAACAAAUUCUUCUGAGCUUAAAAAAAAAGUCAAACAUGUAUUAUCUGGUAAUUUCUGUCAAUCAGGAAUCUGGGAACCACUUCAUUAGAUGUCUGGCUCAAGGCCUCUUGGGAGAUCACAGCCAAGCUAUAGCCUGGAGCUACAGUUUUCUCAUGACUUGAUUGGAGAAGACAGACUACUCCUAAACUCACUCGCCUGGCUGUCAGCAGCCUGCAAUCCCUCGCCGCAGCCUGCGCAUGUUGCGUGGAGUUGCUCACAGUACAAAAGCAUUCAUCUCCAAGUACAGGGACUCGGAGAAAGGAGAAUGAACCAAGCCAGAGGUUGCAAUUACAAUUUAAUGUAAGAGAUGCUGCACGGUGUUCACUUAGGCUUCACGUAUACUAAAAAAAAGUGAUGCUGUCUGUCAUGUCCGCCACGUUCUAUUUAUCAGAAGUGAGCCACAGGGUCCAACCCACUCUCAAAAAGAUUACAUGGAUCUAUGGAUGUGAGGCAACAGGGAUCAAAAAUAAGAAUAUCUAUUCUGACUAACAUAGAAAUAUACAUUAAAUCAGUAGUGGUAGCGCACAUGUAAUCCCAGAAUUUGUGGGACAGAAAUGGAAGAAGCUUAAGGCUACAUAGGGUUACAUAGCAAGACCCCAUUUUAAAAACAAAUGGGGCUGGGGGGAUGUCUCAGCUGUCAGAAGCAUUGGCUUCUAUUCCAGAGAACCAGAGUUCAAUUCCCAGUGCCCACGUGGCAGUUCAUGACAGUCUGUUCUAGGAGGUCUGACACCCUCUUCUGACCUCUGAGGGCAUGCAAUUGGGACACAGACAUGUGUGCAGGAAAAACACCCCUAAACAGAGAAAAAAGUAGUAAUAAUUAAUAAUAAUAAUAACAUCCUGGGGCAGUGGUGCAUGGCUUUAAUCUUAGCUCUCAGGAGGCAGAGGCAGGCAGAUCUCUGAGUUCUGGGCCAGCCUGGUCUACAGAGUGAGUUCUAGGACAGCCAGGGCUACAUAGAAAAAAACCUGUCUCAAAAAAACAACAACAAAAACAAGCAAACAAACAAAAACCCAGAGGAGGAGAAGAGGAAAGGUAAGAAUGAAAUAUCAAAAUGAAACUCAAGGCACAGAGCAAUGAGAAGCAUUUGCCUAGAGUCUUUAGUUACUGUUCAAACCUCGUCUUAAUUUCAAAGCUUCAUUCUAACUCUGGCUUCUCCCCAGAAGUCCCUCAGUUGGGAAGUUUUGUCUGUUUGGAAGUAAGUUCUCAUAUACCCCAGACUGACCUAGAACUUGGUAUGUACCUGAAGAGGAAUUCUUCAGGUUGAGUUCUUUAACUUGAGUUCUUGAUUCUCCCGGGUCUAUAUCCCAGGUGUUGGGAUUACAGAUGUGUGCCUCAGGCCUGGUUUACAUGGUGCUGGAGGGGUUUGAACCCAAGGCCUUCUGCAUGACAAGCAAACAUGGUACCAGCUGAGCCACAUCCCUGUUUGUUUGUUUCUUAACUCAAUCUCACUAUGUAGCCCUGGCUGGUCUUGCCCUAUCAGCAAUCCUGCCUCAGCCUCCCAAAUACCAAGAUUACAAACAUGUGCCACCAGGUCACCAUGGCUAGGUCAUCUAUGGAAGGUGGUCUUUCCUCUGGUUCUUACUUUCCUAUCUACUUAUUACCAUUGAGAGAGACUCAGAAAUGGGCACAUUCACCAUAAUCAGUUCUAAGACAUCCUCCAACAAAACACAGGAGCUGAGGUACAGUUCAAAAGCAAAGCACUUGCCUAACAUGCACUAGGCCUCAGAUUUCAUUCCUAGUGUGCAAACACACACACACACACACACACACACACACACACACACACACACACACACACAACCAUGUGUUCUCAGACAGACACAAUUGUGUAUCUGACUUAGUCACUAUUCUGUUGCUUCGAAAAGACAGAAUACUGAGUGUUACAGCUUGGAUAGAAAGGAAUUCUGGCAAUCAGGAGCCAAAGAAUACCACAGGUCACAGUAAGCACAGCAGCUUACAGCCCUGCUUCAGGGAAAGGCUUCCCGAGUGUAUCAGCUCUGCUCCAGCAGGAGAGGGUUUCCCAGGCAAAAUUAUUACAGUUCGGCUUCAGUCCCCAGGAGAGGGGAGUGUAACAACUUCGCUUUGCCAGGGAAGGUUUCCCCAGGGAAAAGUGUUACAGCCCUGCUCUGCUCCAUCCAGGGUCGUCUCUGCUCUCAUGAAAGAAGGUCAUUCAAGCCUCAUUCAAGAGAUUUAUUGGGAGGGAAGAAUUCAGGAGAGUGGCUGCCCUCUACCAGGAUGGCAGAGGACAGCAGGGCAGCCUGAACAACCAUAAGCUGAAGAGGCACAGGGUUUAUAUAGGGAUUCUUAGGGGGGCAGAGUUUUUCCAGGGUAGGCAAUGGUCAGAUUUCAAUCCCUGAGCUCAGAGUGGCUAGAUGUCCUGCUCAGGGAUUGGUUAGUUUUCUGCACAGGUUUAGGGUCAGAUUUGGCUCUGGUUUCAGGGCCAAAAUGUGUUUCUUUCACUGGUCCUUUUUAACCUUUUGGCUCUAGUUUUAAGACCAGAGUGUAUUUCUUUCACUGGCUCUGAUUCCAGGGACAAAGUGUGUUUCUUUGGCACUGGUUUCAGGGCCAGGGUGCAUUUCUUUGGUUUUGGUUGCAGGGCUAAAGUGUGUUUCUUUGGCUGGACCCUUUUCCCUACAGAAGGAGCUCCAGUUGCACAAUUGGAUAAUGCAGUACUUAUCUGACAAAAAUGGGAAGGAGCUCUGGCCCUCAGUUGUCAUCUUUCUACAUCUGCAUCUAUGAGAUGUACUGUUCACCUGGUCCUCAGCCCCAGAGCCCCUCCAGAUGUUGCCCUGGGCACUUCUGUGCCUUCUCAGAGGCUCCAUAAUCACUCAACUGAGUUUCCAUGCCCUUGGACAGGAAAUGCCUAUGAGUCUCAUGAUGUCACCGGAAGCAAAGCACACGCUUCCUCUCUCCCUGGAUCCUUGUUUGUGUCUACAGUCCUGUGAGUUGGCUCUGGGGGAGGGUACAUCCUGCUCCAUCUCAGAUGCUUCCCUUGUUCUCUCAGUCUUCUGGAGACUUAGAUAAGUCUCAGUUGGAAAAGAGGGAAGGAAAGCUAGCCGGAAGUGAUCAGUGGCUAUUCUGAGUCUUCCUCUCCUCUUCCUGGACUUAGGAUUUUGAAACACAAAAGGUAAAAUUCUCUUUCUCUACCUCCCCCCCUUCCCUCUAUUUUUCUGUAGCAACCUUCCCAAUGACAGACAAUCCAUGUCUUAAGAACAGUAAAAUGAGCUGGGUGGUGGUAGGCACACCUUAAAUCCCAGGACUUGGGAGGCAGAGGCAGGGAGAUCUCUGAGUUUGAGACCAGCCUGGUCUGAGUGAGUUCUAGGACAGUCAGAACUACAAAGAGAAACUCUGUCUCAAGAAUGAAUGAAUAAAUAAAUAAAUAAAUAAAUAAAACAAAAGGAAUGAAUGAAUGGGAAAGGGAGCUGAGUGGGGCAAUAUGCAUUGUCUAGAAUCCCAGCAUUUUGGAAGCUUGAGGCAAGAGAAUGACAAGUUUGAGGCCAGACUGGAGUAAAUAGUAUGUUCAGGCCAGCUUGAUAUACAGCAAGACUCCCCCUGAAGGGACCAGCCCCUCAACCAGCCCCCAGCUUUAGCAACCAUAACACGCUACAGAAAAGACCCAGCAAGACAAAGGUCCCUGACUCAGCAACAUAUGCUUGCCUGACCUUGCCCGACCUCCUAGUCAUGAGGAAGCCAGAUACCCUCCAUGUGGCAAGGAACCAAUCAGAAGUUAGCUGGCAGCCUCUGGAUGUGCUUUAUGGUAACAGUGAUGUGCAGAGCAUAGCAACCAGUUGACCAACACAGGACAGGUGGCCCAAGCCCAGAAAUGCACCAAUCCUGAGACUGUUGUGGACCCUAGACAUUCCCCUUGCUCUGCCCCAAUAAAAUACCUGCCCCUCAGUCCCUCUGGGUCCUUCUCACUCUACCUACUGGGUCAGACAGACGGAGCAACAGAGUUAAUACAGUUAACUCGCUAAAUAAUAAGAAUUUGCAAGCCAGGCAUUAGUGGCGCACACCUUUAUAAUCCCAGCACUCGGGAGGCAGAGGGAGGAGGAUCUCUGUGAGUUUGAGGACAGCCUGGUCUCCAGAGAGAGUGUCAAAGUUACACAGAGAAACCCUGUCUUGGAAAUAAUAAUAAUAAUAAUAAUAAUGACUUUGCUUUUGCAUUGGAACGGGUCUCUUGGUGAUUUGGGGGUUCAGAAUUUGGGCACAACCCCACACACACACACACACACAUAUUCCAAAACAGGGGAUAAGUAGGGGAUGAUCCUAGGGUAACUAGAAAGAACUAUGGGGGAGACAUAGCAAUUCACAAUGAUGCCCUACCACAAUGAAAGAUGUGUCUCAGCCCUAGAUAAAAUAUUUGCUUAUAAAUCACAGUCCUUAAUUCUCUUUCACAUCUUUCUUAAUUUUACUUCACAGUCCUGUAACGAUAAGUAGUUACGCCAUCCACCUGAGCCCCGCCACCAUGUGGGAGCCUGAAAUAACACACAGAGUCUUAUAUUAAUUACAAUGUUGCUGGCCAAUGACUAGGAUAUCCUAUCUGCUAACCCAGUCUUAAUUAUCAACCAUAACCAUUAAUCUGUAUAGUUUAUAAAGACUUAUCUGAUCGAGGAGGCUGGCGGCAUGUGUCCUCUCUUCCUGGGCUCAC